rnacentral:rRNA from 1 species
AGGACGAACGCUGGCGGCGUGCUUAACACAUGCAAGUCGAGCGGAAAGGCCCUUCGGGGUACUCGAGCGGCGAACGGGUGAGUAACACGUGAGCAAUCUGCCCCUAGCUCUGGGAUAGCUCCGGGAAACCGGAAUUAAUACCUGAUACGACCACGGCUGACAUCGGCCAUGGUGGAAAGCUUUUGCGGCUAGGGAUGAGCUCGCGGCCUAUCAGCUUGUUGGUGGGGUAACGGCCUACCAAGGCGACGACGGGUAGCCGGCCUGAGAGGGCGACCGGCCACGACUGGGACUGAGACACGGCCCAGACUCCUACGGGAGGCAGCAGUAGGGAAUAUUGCACAAUGGAGGAAACUCUGAUGCAGCGACGCCGCGUGAGUGACGAAGGCCUUCGGGUUGUAAAGCUCUGUUCUCAGGGAAAAGAAGUGAUUGUACCUGAGAAGAAAGGACCGGCUAACUUCGUGCCAGCAGCCGC